GUAAAAUUUCAAGUGAUAAAAGCAGAGAACAAGUGGAAGAGCUUCUGAAUGAGCGCAGUGACCUGCGAGAAAACUACCACAUGAGACUUAAUCAGAUCACAGCUGUCAUAAUUGAACUGAAACAUCUGAGGCAAGCAUUUAAUGGGGUUUUGAAGAAUUCUGGGGAUCCUAAUGACAGGAAUGCAAUGGUUUGGAUAAGCAGAGUACAAGCAAUUAAGGAUUCUUUGGAACUCCUUAAACUUCAGGAGCAAGUAACUGAAUCCAUGCAGGAGAAUGGUUUCAA